AUGCUUUCAACUUCUUUUAUAGAGGGAACCAAAGAGACGUUGGAGAAGACUUCUUGCAAAAGUGAGUCUUCGAGAGAAACAUCAACAAAUGCGUUGGAAAGAUUUCUGAUAUGGUUAAUACCGUUGCAAUGCCAUUUGAAACUCAUUUGCUACAAAAGGAAUUAUCAAUUGCAAUUAUUCAAGCUUAUGCAAAUUUCUACUAAGUCUUCACGUGAUCAGAAGAAGGAAAAUUGA